UAGGGAAUCUUCCGCAAUGGACGCAAGUCUGACGGAGCAACGCCGCGUGAGUGAAGAAGGAUUUCGGUUCGUAAAACUCUGUUGUUAGAGAAGAACAGCGCAUAGAGUAACUGUUAUGCGUGUGACGGUAUCUAACCAGAAAGCCACGGCUAACUACGUGCCAGCAGCCGCGGUAAUACGUAUGUCACGAGCGUUAUCCGGAUUUAUUGGGCGUAAAGCGCGUCUAGGUGGUUAUGUAAGUCUGAUGUGAAAAUGCAGGGCUCAACUCUGUAUUGCGUUGGAAACUGUGUAACUAGAGUACUGGAGAGGUAAGCGGAACUACAAGUGUAGAGGUGAAAUUCGUAGAUAUUUGUAGGAAUGCCGAUGGGGAAGCCAGCUUACUGGACAGAUACUGACGCUGAAGCGCGAAAGCGUGGGUAGCAAACAGG
rnacentral:rRNA from 1 species